UGUUUAUCAAAAACAUGGUUUUUAGAUUAUAAUUUAAGAUUUAACCUGCCCACUGAGAAAUUAAAUGGCCGCGGUAUUUUGACCGUGCUAAGGUAGCAUAAUCAUUAGUUUUUUAAUUGGAAGCUGGAAUGAAUGGUUGGAUGAGAAAAAGACUGUCUCUUAUUAAAUUUAUUGAAUUUUAUUUUUAAAUUAAAAAGUUUAAAUUUUUUUAAAAGACGAGAAGACCCUAUAGAGUUUUAUAAAUUUGAUAUUUUAAGGUUUUAGAAUUUUUAUUUUAAAAUAUUUAUUUUAUUUGGUUGGGGUGAUUAAAAAAUUAGAAAAACUUUUUUAGAAUUAAUUUCAUAAAUUUAUGUUUAUUUGAUCCAUUAUUUAUGAUUAAAAGAUUAAAUUACCUUAGGGAUAACAGCGUAAUUUUUUUUAAGAGUUCUAAUCGAAAAAAAAGUUUGCGACCUCGAUGUUGGAUUAAAAUUUAUUUUUGGUGUAGAAGCUAAAAUAUUUGGUCUGUUCGACCAUUAAAAUUUUACAUGAUCUGAGUUCA
rnacentral:rRNA from 1 species